AAGGUGGGUCGGCAGCCAUGGAAGACGCAGUGGUGUUAGCGAAGUGUUUGGCGAAAAAGCUUGAUUCAAAACAAAAGAUUGAAGAAGCUUUGGACGAGUAUAUAAAAGAAAGAAGGAUGAGACUGGUUUGGCUGUCUACACAAACCUAUCUUGUUGGUUCGUUGCUUGAUACUUCCUCGUUAAUUAAGAAAAUAUUUAUUAUGAUUUUCAUGGCUGUGCUCUUCCGCGACCCAAAUGCUCAUACCAAGUAUGAUUGUGGACGCCUCUAAUUCUAAUAUAUUCCGGAUUAAACUUCAAAUUUUUUGAUCAAAAUUACAAUAAAAGGUAUAAGUAUCUGUUAAACACUAGUAAAUUGUAUGUUGUACGCUGUUAUUUAUUAUUAUUUCAGUGGUGGAUGCUUACCCAUUAAAUAUUUUUCAAGUUCAAUAAAUUCUUAGAUUUAAAUCAAUAAUCUUUAUUUGUAGUGUGUAAAUUUGUAAGUGUGGCAUUCUCUCUUUAAAUAUUAUUUAUUUUUCUCUUUGGUUGUGAUGUUAAGUAUGAAUUUUGAGAUUAAUUUAUUGAAAGAUAUAUAAUGUGUGUGUAUAUAAUAGCCCGACCCUCAAUAUUGAUGGAUACAAACGCUUACACACUAUUUUCAAUUACCGAAAUCAAUAAAUAUUAUAUAUACAACAUAACUAUACAUUGAUACACUUAUCUUCUCACAAAAUAAUUUGUUCACAAAUAUAAGAGGCAUCAUAAUUAAUUACAAAUUUAAAAUAAAAAAUAAUAAGGUUUUUUUAUUGAUCCUGAGACUUGCAGGUUAUGGAUUCACCGUUGACUAGUUAAAAUUUAUCUUUGAGUAGGAUUCUCUAAUUUAGCUAUUGUAUAAUCCUAAUAUUUAGGAAUAAGUCAAUUACCUCUUAUCUUGUUGGCUGUUCCUAUUUUGUAUCAAUCUUGAGUAUUUAUACUAUAAGUUUUGUUUAAAAAAGUGUACAACUCGUUGAAAUAAAAUAUGAAAAGUUUUUUAUUUUUCUAUCUCAGCAAGUGUUUGCUAAAAUUCCUCUUAAAUAUAUUUUUUUAUUUUUCAAUCCUAAAAUCAACAAUUGGUAUCAUAACUUCUUUGAAACAUUUUUGCAACAGGUGAGGAAGAGAAAAUUACAGUAAGCUAGUGAAGGAGACAAGCAGAGUUGAUGGCAACUGAAGCAACAUUUGUGCAACUAGUCAUUCCACACUUUGAUGGCCAUUAUGAUCACUAGUGCAUGCUGAUGGAAAAUUUUUUGAGGUCCAAGGAGUACUGGAACGUUGUUGAAUCUGGUGUAGCAGAACCAGUGGCUGGAACUAUGUUGACACAGCAGUAAAAAAAAGAAUAUAAGGCAUUAAAGUUGAAGGAUCUCAAAGCAAAGAACAAUCUCUUUCAAGCAAUUGAUCAAUCUACCUUGGAAACAAUUCUUUGUAAAGAUACGUCCAAAAAACAUCUGAGACUCAAUGAAGAAAAAAUAUCAAGGGGAUGCAAAGGCAAAGAGAAUGCAACUCCAAGCACUUCGUGCAGAAUUUGAAGCGCUACAUAUGAAGACUGGAGAAUUAGUAGAUGAUUUCUUCUCUNNNNNNNNNNNNNNNNNNNNNNNNNNNNNNNNNNNNNNNNNNNNNNNNNNNNNNNNNNNNNNNNNNNNNNNNNNNNNNNNNNNNNNNNNNNNNNNNNNNNNNNNNNNNNNNNNNNNNNNNNNNNNNNNNNNNNNNNNNNNNNNNNNNNNNNNNNNNNNNNNNNNNNNNNNNNNNNNNNNNNNNNNNNNNNNNNNNNNNNNNNNNNNNNNNNNNNNNNNNNNNNNNNNNNNNNCAAUGUGAAAAUCUGUACCAAAAAAAAUACUAAUAAAACAAUUUCAAAUGUUUUCUUUAUUCCAGAUCUAAAGACUAAUCUACUAAGUAUUGAUUAACUCUAAGAGAAGGAAUAUAAGAUUCUAAUUAAGGCUUGAGUUUGCAAUGUUGAAGAUGAAAAUUUGGGCUUGAUUGCUAAAGUCAGAAUGACAACAAAUCGAAUGUUUCCACUUUAUCUUCAAAAUACCACUUCUUCAUGUUUCUUUUCAAGAUUGAAAGAGGUGGCUUGGCUUUGGCAUUUCUGAUAUGCUCACCUAAAUUUUGGUGGUUUGAAAACUCUACAGCAAAAGUAGAUGAUGGCAGAACUUCCAUAAUUUGAUUGUCCAUCAGAUGUUUGUAAAGAUUGUGUUGUUAGUAAACAACACUGUAACACUUUUCCCAAAAGAAAUUCUUGGAGAGCAAAGAAAGUUUUAGAACUGGUGCACUCUGAUAUUUGCGGCCCAAUUAAUCGAUCUUUAAAUGGAGGUAAAAAAUAUAUAAUCAUCUUUAUUGAUUAUUAUAGUCGAAAAAUUUGGGUUUAUUUUUUGCAGGAAAAAUCGAAGCUUUUGUCCUUUUAAAAAGCUUUAAAGCACUUGUUAAGAAAAAGAUUGGAAGUCUAAUAAAAAUUCUUCAAACAGACCGUGGUGGAGAAUAUAACUCAUAGGAAUUUAUAAAAUUUUGUAAGUCUGAUGGCAUUAAAAGGCAACUUACAACAACAUACACACAUGAGCAAAAUGGUGUUUGCGAGAGAAAAAAUCGUACCAUUUUGAAUAUGGUUCGAAGUCUGUUAAAAAGGAGUGACAUUCCAAAAAAAAUUUGGCCUGAAGCAAUUAAUUGGAGUAUCUAUGUUUUGAACAGAUCUUCCACAUUUGCUGUUCAAAACAUGAGUCCGGAAGAAGCUUGGAAUGGAUAUAAACCAUUAGUAUAAUACUUUAAAGUUUUUGGAUGCAUUGCUUAUGCUCAUGUUCCAUAUGAAAAAAGGAAGAAGUUAGAUGACAAAUGAGAAAAAUGCAUUUUUUUUUAGUGUUAGUGAUCAUUCUAAAGUCUACAAGUUGUAUAAUCCUAUCAUUAAAAAAAAUUUAUUAGCCAUGACGUGAUUUUUGAUGAAGCAAACCUUUGGAAAUGGGAUAAAAAAAUUAUUCAACAAUAAAUUCUAGUUGAUUUUAUUGCUGAAAACGAAGAAAGACAACAACCUUUGGUGAAUGAUCAUCACAUGACCAAUGAGGAACAACCAUUGGUUACUCAAACCCCUCCCAACGACGAUGAACAACGACCUCAAAGAGUUAGGAGAAAGCCAACAUAGAUGACUGAUUAUGAGGUAACUGGAAUUGAAGAACCACUAACCCAUUUUGCUUUUUUCUCAAAUUAUGAUCUUAUGUCUUUUGAAAAAAAUUAUAAAAUAGUCAAAAUAGAGGAAGACAAUGGAUGAUGAGAUAGCUGCCAUUGAAAAAAAUAGUACUUGGGAGUUGGUUAAACUUCCAAAAUGCCAAAAAUCCAUUGGAGUAAAGUGAGUCUACAAAACAAAGUUAAAUGAAAAAUGAGAAGUUGAUAAAUUCAAAGCACGUUUGAUUGCUAAAGGCUACAAACAAGAGUUUGGGAUGGAUUAUAUCAAAGUUUUUACACUGGUAACAAAGCAUGACACAGUUAGAAUGAUUAUUGCAUUAGCAACUCAAAAUUCAUGGCCUGUUUUCCAACUAGACGUGAAAUCGGCUUUCUUACAUGGAGAUCUAAAUGAUCAGAUAUUUAUUGAACAACCUCCAGGUUAUAUUAAAGUUGGAAAUAAACAUGAAGUGUAUAGACUAAAGAAUUUCUUGUAUGGUUUAAAACAAGCACCUGGGGUUGGUAUGGUCGAAAUGAAACUUAUUUUUUGAAGGAAGGUUUUUAAAAAUGUCCGUAUGAACACACACUUUUUAUAAAAUUAGAAGAUGAUGGGAGGGUGCUUAUGGUUUGUCUUUAUAUAGAUGAUUUAAUUUAUACCGAUAAUGAUAUAACCAUGUUUGAAAAGUUUAAGAAGUCUAUGAUGAUCGAGUUUGACAUGAGCGAUCUUGAAUUGAUGCGAUACUUUCUUGGCAUAGACGUGACUCAAUCUGCUGGUGGCAUAUUCAUUUCUCAAGAAAAGUAUAUGCAGGAAGUCUUGAGCAAGUUUCAAAUGAAGAAUUGCAAUCCUACUAGUACUCUAAUGGAUACAAGAAUGAAGCUUGUUAAAAAUCCUGAAGGAAAGACGGUAGACAACACUAUUUACAAGCAAAUUGAGGGAAGCUUGAUGUAUUAAACCACCACAAGGCCAUAUAUUAUGUGUGAUAUGAGCAAAAUCAGCAUAUACAUGGAAAGUCCUAAGGAAGUACAUCUUAUUGCUGCAAAAAGAAUUCUCUGAAACUUGCAAGGUACUUCUAAAUAUGAACUGUUCUACAGGAAUGAUGAAAAAUCAAAUCUAUUUGGUUUCACGGAUAGUGAUCAUGCUAGAGAUUUAGAUGAUAGAAAAAAUAUAACUGGUUAUGUUUUCUUAAUGGGAACAACAACAAUUUCAUGGUUUUAUAAAAAACAAUCAAUAGUAACAUUAUCAACAAUUGAAGUCGAAUAUAUAGCUGUUCUACCCUGUGCUUGUCAAACAGUCUGGUUAAGAAAGAUUCUUGAUGAGCUUCACUUCAAGCAAGAAUGACCUACUUUUAUCUACUGUGAUAAUGAAUCAGCAAUUAAAUUAUCUAAAAAUCCUGUUCUACAUAGAAAAAGUAAACAUAUAGAUGUGAAAUUUCACUUCCUAAGAGAUCUUAUAAAACAAAGAGUAAUUGAUCUCAACUAUUGCAAGAGUGAAGAUAUAUAUUUUACCGGCGGUUUGUGGUUAAGUGUAUUUUUAUAGUUUAUCUCAAGUCAACCUGAAUAUACAUACAUAAGUACAUACACUGAGACUGACACUAAAAAAUAGAGAAAAACAGAGAUAGUAAGAAUUCAUAUGCAAUUUCAAUACGUAAAAUUAAAAUUCAAGUAAAUUGUGUUCAAAGUGACUACUGACUUGGCUUGUUUAAUAUAUCUUAAUUUAAAUAUAAGAAUUUUGAUUGAUCAAUUUAUUAAUUAAAAUGUCAACAAAUGUUUUGAGAAAAUUAUAUAACUGAUGAUAUAUAUAUAAAAAAAAAAGAAGCAUGCAGCAGAAAACAUUAUAAAAAUUCUGAAUUUAAGUAGACAAAUUUAAUUAAAAUUGGUAUCUAAAACAAAUUAGAUGAUGUUUUGGUUGACAAGGAAUUAGAAGUUUCCAAGAAAGAGAAAUGGAGAAGGAUCAGUCAACAAGAAAGAAAACAAGUCAACCCAAAAUAAUAAGACGAAUUCUGACACAUGUCUGAUUAAAAUUUAAUUUAAUUUAAAUAAAAUAAUAUUCUUUUUUUACUUUCAACAAAUUUAAGGUUAGAGAUUUAAUAUAUUAUACUUUAAAGAAAAUAAAAUAAAAUAUUACCGUAUCACAAAAGUUUAUUAUGUUAUUUUUAUCAAUUUGAAAGUUACAGUAAUAUAUAUAAUUUUAAUAUCAACUCAUUCAAAAUUUAUGACAAAAUAAAUUUUUGUCCCCUUUUUUUUUAUUUAUAUAUUAUAGUCUAAGUUAAGGGACUAAGCUUUUUCCCUUCGCCAACAAAGCUUUGUUUGUUUGACAAGGAAAUGAGAAAAGUCUCCAUGACCAACAGACAGGUGACGACAAAGUCAACCUGACUUUAUACGCACGCACAUAUAAUAUAUAUAUAUAUAUAUACAUAUACAUACCCACAUACGCCUCCACAAAGUACACAUAGUUUUGUUGAUAAUUACUGAAGAAGAAAAGAAAGAAAGAUCGAUGAGUAUAAUUGGCAAAAGGAAAGAGGAGGAAGAAAUGGAAGAGAUUGAGAUAGUAAUAGCAGGUGGUGGCAUAUGCGGUCUGGCAACUGCUUUGGCUCUUCACAGGUUUCUUAUAAUUAUUUUUAAUAUAUAAAAAAUAUUUAACGUUUUAUAAAAAUUGAAACUCUAUAUAUAUAUAUAUAUAUAUAUAUAAUAUGUAUAAUUACUUAACUGGGAUGCAGGAAAGGGAUAAAGAGUGUGAUUCUGGAAAGAGCAGAAUGUGUUCGUGCGACGGGAUCUGCCAUCGGUGUCUUCCCAAAUGGGUGGCGAGCUCUUGACCAACUUGGUGUUGGCUCUGAUCUCCGCCCAACUGCCGUCCCACUUCUCGGGUAUAUCUCUCUCGCUCUCUCUCUCUAAACAUAUACAUAUACAUAUACAUACAGAUACGCAUAUAUAUAUAUAUAUAUCAUGCUCCACCUUUGGUCUCUUUUCUUAUCUUUCUGUAAAACAUAUGAAUUAUGAAUACACAAUUUUUUUUUUUUCUCGAAAAGAUGGGUAUACAAUAUUUAACACCCACAAUUGUAUAUACGAAAACAGGGUAAGGGAUGUAUCGCUUCACAACGGCAAGCGGCGUGAAUCAACUUUUUCGCUUACCUCGUACGUUGACAAGCCCAUAUACAAUAUAUAUAUAAGCUUUUCAUUUUUCGUUGAAGAUUAUGUUUUUAAGAGGAUAUUAUUUGACAUAAACUACAUAUAUUGUCAGAGUUGGGGAAGGUCGGUGCCUGAAACGGAGUGAUCUAGUCAAAGCACUCGCCAAUCAUCUUCCAUCUGGCACCAUUCGCUUUAAUUCACAAAUCGUUUCAGUGGAGUUGGACCCUUUGUCUUCCUACCCUAUUCUUCACCUCAAAGAUGGAACAACCAUUAGAGCCAAGGUAUAUAUAUAUUAUAUACACAUAUACUGUAAUACACAUACAACAGAAAACAUAUUUUCUUAAAUGUGUAUAUUUAACAUUAAUUAAUUCCACACCUGGGUAUAUAUAAAUAGGUUUUGAUCGGAUGUGAUGGGGCCAAUUCAGUAAUAGGUGACUUUCUGGGACUAAAGCCAAAAAAGGUAUUCAGUUCAUUGGCUGUGAGAGGUCUUACAGAGUUUGCAAACCGCCACGGAUUGCCCAUUGAGGGCGUAAGAAUUAGAAGGGGCAACACCAUGUCGGGAGGAGUUCCUCUCAACGAUCACCUACUCUAUUGGUUCUUACUUCACAAAUGGAAUCCUACCGGUAAUUAUUGUUAAAUUUCAAUCUCUACAUGUUUAAAAACAAUCGAUCAAAAUCUCUGAAUCAUGUUUUUGUUUAUGAGUUUCGACUAUAGAUCUUGCAAAAGUGGCACAUGAUCCGGAGCUGAUACAAAAAAUGGCUAUAGAAACAUUAAUCGAGCACAAAUUUCCAGCAGAAAGAAUAGAGAUAGUCAAAAGGUGUGAUCUAAAUUCAUUAUCGCUCACUCACUUGAGAUAUAGGUCACCAUGGGAGGUGCUGUUGGGAAACUUUCGGAAAGGGACGGUAACAGUGGCGGGAGAUGCAAUGCACGUGAUGGGUCCAUUUUUAGGUCAAGGUGGCUCCGCAGCCAUGGAAGACGCAGUGGUGUUAGCGAGGUGUUUGGCAGGAAAGCUUGGUUCAAAACAAAAGAUUGAAGAAGCUUUGGACGAGUAUAUAAAAGAAAGAAGGAUGAGACUGGUUUGGCUGUCAACACAAACCUAUCUUGUUGGCUCGUUGCUUGAUACUUCCUCGUUAAUUAAGAAAAUCUUUAUUAUGAUUUUCAUGGCUCUGCUCUUCCGCAACCCAACUGCUCAUGCCAAAUAUGAUUGCGGACGCCUCUAAUUCUAAUAAAUUCCGGAUUUAACUU
rnacentral:lncRNA from 1 species